rnacentral:rRNA from 1 species
AGGCAGCAGUAGGGAAUCUUCCGCAAUGGACGAAAGUCUGACGGAGCAACGCCGCGUGAGUGAUGAAGGUUUUCGGAUCGUAAAACUCUGUUAUUAGGGAAGAACAAAUGUGUAAGUAACUGUGCACAUCUUGACGGUACCUAAUCA